rnacentral:pre_miRNA from 13 species
UGGUGGUGGCUUGGUGGUCGUAUGCAUGACGUCAUUUACUUCGAUGAUUGGAGUGACAUCAUAUGUACGGCUGCUAAACUGCUACAAGAGA